rnacentral:sRNA from 1 species
AAAGCUGAAUUCUUUAUGUAUGGCUUGGCUCGUGGACCAUGUAUACGCCAUCCGAGAAGCUGCCACCAACAACCUCAUGAAACUAGUUCAGAAGUUUGGUACAGAGUGGGCCCAAAAUACUAUUGUUCCCAAAGUGUUAGUAAUGGCAAAUGAUCCUAAUUACUUGCAUAGAAUGACCACUUUAUUCUGCAUUAAUGCACUGUCUGAGGCCUGUGGUCAGGAAAUAACUACUAAGCAAAUGCUGCCCAUCGUAUUAAAAAUGGCAGGAGACCAAGUAGCAAAUGUUCGCUUCAAUGUGGCCAAAUCUCUACAAAAAAUUGGACCAAUUCUAGAUACCAAGUAAGAUUUUAGUGUUUAGUCUUGUUUUAAAAGUGUACUUUAAAUUUUACCUUAUAGUGGGGAGUAAUUAGCUAAAAUUAAGUUCAGGGAUUUUCACUUUACUUAAGAUCUGGGUUUGCUUAAAGAAAAUAAUUUAGCAACUAUUUUUGAGGAUGUCCACUAUGACUUUUAUAUUUAAGCUCUGUAAAUGUGUAGAUCCUUGUCUGAAGCUGAUUUUGCUGAGAAUUUCUUUAGACAUUAUUUUGUGUAUUUGUCAAGUUUAUAAAUGUAUUUUUUUACUUUAAAUUUUAACAAUUACCAUUAACCAUAUACACCAAAAAGGAUUUCUAUGGCCCAUUAGACUGUCUUUCACAGAUAAUACUUUUGAAUGUCAGUGCUUUACAGGGAGAAGUGAAGCCAGUACUACAGAAGUUAGGUCAAGAUGAAGACAUGGAUGUCAAAUACUUUGCACAGGAAGCUAUAAGUGUUCUUGCAUUGGCAUAAUGAGGAGCAGGAGGGAAAAGGCCUUUACUAGAUUCUUGUCACAGAUUU